GGGAGCUUAGCUCAGCUGGUUUAGAGCACCUGCCUUACAAGCAGGGGGUCGUGAGUUCGAAUCUCGCAGCUCCCA
rnacentral:tRNA from 1 species